GUGAAUCAUCGAAUUUUUGAACGCAAAUUGCACUCUCUUCGGAGAGUAUGCCUGUUUGAGGGUCAGCCCAAAAAAAAAAUCGACAUAGUCGCUGUUUCGCGGUGAAAUUCGGUGGAAAUUGUGUCAUCUUAAACUUUUGGGUUUUAAUCUGCUUAAAAUUUUCUUUUUGCUUUCACGAAGUUUUCUAAGAUUUACUUUUUUUACGUUUAGGGUCUCGAUCUGUAUUAGACGGUGCCGUUGCA
rnacentral:misc_RNA from 1 species